rnacentral:lncRNA from 1 species
CAUUCUUGAAUUCUCUGAUCGGUGUACCAUCCACAGAAAAGCUGAAAUGGGAGCACAAAUAAGUCAGAAAAACGAGACGAUAUCGUCUAAAUGUGAGGUGUUUGGUAACUGUGAAAUUACUUACAUGAUGCGUUGGGGAUUCCAGAGGAUGGAAUAGGUGUGAAAAUCUGCAGUCGGGUCGAACCAGAGAUAGAAUUGCUGCUCCCUGUUGCCCUUUCCUUGGCCAAACACAUUGGUGUGAAGAAUAUAAGGAUCCCCACUCAGGUUUCCCAAGAACUCGAAGUCUAUCUCAUCAUGGGUUGAUCCUUGAGAUGACAACUGCACAAUACAUAACACAAUAUUAGUUAUAACUUCCCAUCUAUAGUAUCAAGGAAGAAAAAAAGCUAAAAUAUCGUCCAGCUUACAUAAUAGGCAGUGACGGUGCCAGCAGAAUUUCCAGGUACGAGUUUGAGUUGCAUAUCAAUCUUGCCAAAUAGAUACUCAUUCUUGGAUUGAAAUCCAGAGCCAGAAAUUUUAUCAAGUGAGAGAGUCAGAAGUUCUCCAUUGUUGAGUAUCUUAGCUCUUCCAUCUCCCCAUGUGAUAUCAAAAUCUUGAUGGAAAUUACCUCCAAGUGCUAUUACAAAACAGCUACUUAUAACUAAAACUAAAGAAACUGAAUUCAAAGAAGCCAUUAUUGAAGAGUUGAAUUGCGUUGGCAAAGUAUAAUGAAUAAAUCUAAGAAGAUUUGGUGUUUAAGAUUGUUGUUUGAUGUUGGAAUAGGAUCCAUUCAAGGGUAUUUAUAGGGAGUUUGUGGGGUCUGUAGAAAUUGCAGGGAGGGUUCCAUAAAUUCAAGUUGUGUGGUGAAAAGUGUUUGAGCUGGAUACAGAUAUUGGCCAAAACGAGUUGCUGUCAACAGUUUUUUGUAUAUCCAGUGACAACCCAUUUCGCCUUUUAAUAUUUAUUAUUAAUACCACAGUCUACACUGUUCUGAUAAUAUUGUCCUAAGUGUAAGCUUUUGACUAGAGUACAACUGAUUUACCUUUCAAAUAGUAAUACCUCUACAAUUUAAAAUAGAUAUCGAUUCAUUUACAUACUGAUACAUCUAUAAUUCAAAGGAAUCAAACCGGACAAGAUCCAAAAUCGCUCGAUUUGCUCCAAUUAAAUUUUCCAUUGUCUACAGAACCUACUUGUCCAUUUUGAAAUUCUCAAUGGGAUUUGGUUCGGUUCAAGUUCUCAAGAAACUCAGGUUGAACAAGCUGGUAUCCACCCCUAAUAUUAAUUACUUUAAAGGUCCUUACCUUUAUCAUUUUCUUAUUUACAUCUUUAACUUUUUCAUCACAUCUUUAUUUUUAACAUUUCCUUAGCUAGCAAAUAUUAUCCUUAAUCGCAAUUUUCUUGCACAAAUGUUAUUAACGUGCUCUAAAAUGAGGAAUAAAUAUAUAGUUGUAAUUCUAUUUUUUUGGCUUAUUUAAAAAUACAAUGGUAAAUGUCUUUAUUUUAUUUGGACAAAAACCGCAAUAAGGGACAAGUUGUGUUAAUUUGAGAAUAAGAAUACAGUUUUAAAAAAUUAAGACAUAAAUGUGAUAAUGAUUAAAUAUUACAAACAUUUUCAUGCAAUCAAAAUGUGUUGUAAUUAUUAAAAAAUAUUUUGUGAAUAUAUUUAGCUUUACUAAAUAAUCACACACUGAAUAGAAGUUUUGGUUUAAGACAUAUUUCGUUUUCUUUAAGUUUAUCGAUUCAGCUCAAUCAAUUAUCAACAACCCUCAAAUUUGUUACUUAGCCCCUGUUUGAGCCACAUUUUUACUUCAUUAAAAUGAAAAAUAUGACCGUUAUUCAUCACAUCAAGCCACAAUUUUUGAAUUUCUAUCUCUGGUGUGGGGGCCCAUAACGGUUCUAUUUCUCAUUCUCAUUCUCAUUAUAAUGUGGCUCAAAUAGGCUCUUAAUAAUAAAUGUUUUAGCAUUAAACUAAUCAAAUAAGCCAUUAAUUUUUCAAUAGAGAUUUUAAAUUUUGAAAUAGACAUCAUCAAAUUGUAUUUGGUUCUUUAUUAGUGUUAUAACUUUUUUAUUUUUACAUUCUAAAAAAUAUAUAAUAAUAAUCGUUAUCUAGGUUUCCUCCAGAUAUCAUUAUUGGAUUCGGUAAAGAGAUCUGGCCACUGAAUUCACCAUUGUUCUUGUCCUACAUUGACAUUUAUUUUGUGGACUUUGGCUUUACUAGUUUUAUUGUUGUCUAGUUACAAUCUAUGCAUUACGCUCUAUUGGUUACUCUAUUUCAAAUCCAUUUAUAAAAAUUCUUUAGUUUUUUGAGAAAAACAUUAGUUCGAUCUAGAAAGAUUUGAUUAAAGUGAAGGUGAUCGACGACGAUGAGUUCACUUUUGCUUUUGUUACAAGGGAUUUCCGGAGAAUUUGAUUAAGCCCCUGUUUUCUUGAAAUUAAAAUAAAUAAAUAAAUAAAUAAAUAAAUUUUUAGUAGAUUUUGAUAAAAGUUGAUUAAAUAUGUGGUUGAAAAGUUGUGAAUCUAAUGAAAUGUAUAAUUAAAGAGUUUAACUCGUAUUUUAAUUAUUUUUUAGCUGAGCCAAAAAGAGGGCUAAAUUUUAGAAACUUCCCUCGUUGAUAUAAGAGAUUUUUGGGAAUUUUAGGAGUGUCUUAAGUAUUAGAUGUGACUCAUGCCUUAUAAUCGUUUGGAGGCGGGUCAAGUAACUUUGGUGCAAUAGGUCGAGUCUUGUGUUAACAUUAACAAUAUUAGUGUUGAUUAUUAAAUUGAAAAUUAUUUGAAUGGAAUAAAGCCUCGAAGGGGAUUAUCGAUUGUACUACCAAAAGUGUGACACAAUGAACUUUCGCCAAUAAUUAUUCACAAAAUAUAUUUCAGGUCCACUCAAGCUCUCUCAACGCGGAUUGUUUAUAAAUGUGGCCCCCUUGGCCUUAUAAAAAUAAACCUCAAUAGAAUUGAACUUAUAUAAAUGUACCUCAUUUUAUGAUCAUGAUCAAUUUGAUCAUAUGUAUAAUAUUAACUCUCAGAAUUCUCUACAUAGAUAUUUACAUGAAAGAUUUUAGAAAGUUUGUAUACAAUUACGAAAUUAGCCACUUCAAAUAGGUUCAUUGCUCCAGCUCAAAAUACGAUUAAUCCGACGUUGGCUAUAUAAGCUCCUAGUAGUUUACCGAAUAAUUAAUAACUCGAGCAUUCCCGGCCCACCAAGCAAAAUCGGUGAUUUCUUGGUCAUGAUCAAUUACAGCUAAAGUUCCAAUUUACAUAAUUUCCUUUUAAAAAUCUUCAGUCACAAUCUUUGCACAAUACAAUCCAUUUUCACGCGUCUCUUAACCUUUUAGAAUAAUUAUACAAAAGACUUUCACAAGUAUACUUUCAAAUUACCCCCAACGCAUAUCUAUCAAUGAAUCCCAUUAAGUAAUGUUGUUGAUAAUCCUGCACAAUAAUCAACGAACAAAAAGCAGUAAAUUUAAAAGUUUUUGUAAAAUUGACUAUUGUUUCAAUUUUUUCUCAAAUGUAAUAACAAAAAUUGAUGAAAUUUUGCAGGUGUCAUCAAUGAAAUAAUUUAUAGCAUUCUUCAACAUAGAUUAUGUUAAAUAUUCUUGAAAGAAUGAGAAUUUCAAGAUAUUUUUUGUGGUUAAAUCACCUCACUUUUUCAAACUUAGAAAUCUCCAUUAUUAGCAAUAGUUCCAAUAUCAAUCAUAAUGAAAAAAAGAUUAUUAUCAACAAUCUAUGUUAGAAUUUAUUGAAUGAAAUUAAACUCCAUAAAAUAAAAGAAAGAGGCACUCCAUGAUUGGAGGAGAAGAAACCUCCAUGAAAGGAGGGAUUGGAAUUCCACAAUACAAUUAUUUAUUAAUGAAUACAAUCACUCCAUUUAUAGAGAAAAAAGAUGAGUAAUUAACUGACUAAUUUGCUAAUUAACAGGCUAAUCACUAACUAAUUAACAUCCUAGACAUGAGCUGAAAUAUUCGAAAUUUGCUGUAACAUAUUUCUAACACACCCCCUCAAGAUGGACUAUAGAUAUCAACAAUAGUUCAUCUUGAAGAUUAAAGAGUGUACUGGAGGGAAAAACCAUGAUGAAUAGCCUUGCAGAACAAAUCUCUUGAAUCCAUAUAUAUGAGCAUCCAUUAGAUCAGCACGAAACAUCACCAAACAUUCCAUUCCCAUUCCAUUUCGUGCCAGUGCACAAUGCUUUCAGAGUUGAGGAGACUUGUUUUGUAUGGAAAACUUGGUAAGGUUCAUAAUGUAGAAAGGGAUGAUGUUCUCAAUGGAAGCAAACUGGCGGGUCAUUAGAUUUCACCAGAUCUGAUGGAUAAACAAGACUUAGUGUAGGCUUUGACCAUCCAUAAAGAUCUUUGAAAGUUUAGAGAACCAAAAUCUGAAAGAGAAGAAAUUUUAUUGUAGAGAAUCAAGGACGAAUUUUGAUGUUGCUGGCGCCAUUUUCUGAAGACGGGAACUGAACUUUUGCUGGAAUAACACUUUCCAGAAUUAUGCUAAAAUAGAAGAAAUUAGAGAUCUGUUUUCAUUUGUACAGAACACAGAAAGAGGGGAUGAAAAUCUCAAAAAAACACAGCAACAGGAAGAACUCUGCUCUGAUACUAUGUUAGAAUUUAUUGAAUGAAAUUAAACUCCAUAAAGCAGAAGAAAGAGGCACUCCAUGAUUGGAGGAGACGAAACCUCCAUGAAAGGAGGGAUUGGAAUUCCACAAUCCAAUUAUUUAUUAAUGAAUACAAUGACUCCAUUUAUAGAGAAAAAAUAUGAGUAAUUAACUGACUAAUUUGCUAAUUAACAGGUUAAUCACUAACUAAUUAACAUCCUAGACAUGAGCUGGAAUAUUCUAAAUUUGCUGUAACAUAUUUCUAACAAUCUAGGUACCAAAUUUGGUGAAUUUUCAUACCAAAUUUGUGGUUCUAGCUACUUUCAAUUUUGAUGGUAUUUCCUAUACGAAUUUUCACAAUUUUUCUUGCCACAUUUUUUCUCUCGUCCAAGACAAGACAUGAAAGUUGAGGAAGGUUGCGAGAAGUUAUAAGUUUAAAUUCCAAAUUCAAACCACUCCAACCCGUGGAGUUUCACUUGAUAGUUUUAUGAAGUUUUCACUUGAACGUUGUAAACCAAAAUACUAUUUACAAGUGCAACAUAAAAUUGGACAGGGAGCAUGAAAAACGAGGUGCUUGCAAGGCAAUGUGAAAUAAGAGAGAGUAACAGUGACUGAAAAUUUUAUGGUCAAUUUUGUGAUAGCUGAUGUUCAUAUUGGACUUGUAUGAUUUAUAAAAUUAUCAUUAAUUCAUAAUUUCCCAAUCGUCUUUUGCUAAUAAUAUAUUCUAAUGUAUAUAAACUUGUUAAGGACUUGCAUGUAAAUAGUUAUGUAAUUUUUUAACUUUCAUGUCAGUUUGCCCCCAUUUGGUGGCCAUUAUUGAAAGAAAAUGAUGUUUUGAAUAGUGAUUUUUUUUGGAAAAUACGUGAUUAAAUUUUAGUUAAAUGUCUGAAAGAAAGCAAAGGAACAUGUGAUAACUUUCCAAUAUGUUGAUCUGUCGGGAAAAAUUAUAUAGACUCUAAAAUUAUUUCCAACUGGGGAUGCUAAUAAUAUAUUCUAAUGUAUAUAAACUUUUAUUUCUUACAGAUGAUUACAAGUAAAAGAACAAAAGAAUUACUACUUUACUAGACUCCAAACAAAUCAAUAAAUGUAAUAUUCCUGUGCCUAAAUUAAUCAAACUUCAGAAAAUUAAUUCUUUUUAAGCUGAGGUGUUAAUACUACACUCUGGAGGAAAUCCUUGCGAGAAUCGCUUUGAAUCAGAGCAAUAAUUAUAUAUCAUGUAAUUUUUCUGCACCCAUUUUAGCCUCUCUUGGCUUGUGGAAUCCAAUUCUUCAUUCAGCCAUGAAUUGCUGCUACUUGAAGUAGAAGAUGGAGUGCAAGAAGAUGAACCCGAUGAGGACGAAACACAUGCAUCUGCAUUGAAAUUUCUGUAGGAUGCAGUAAACGGAGCCUGACUCCAGUCGGUUUUCACAAGCCCCCCUCUUGUUGCCCAAUCGUCAGCAUUCCACAAGCUAGAGUAAAUUCUCAUGGGUUGGUUCUUUGGGUAUGCAACACCUAGAGACUCAGCAUUCUUGAAUUCUCUGAUCGGUGUACCAUCCACAGAAAAGCUGAAAUGGGAGCACAAAUAAGUCAGAAAAACGAGACGAUAUCGUCUAAAUGUGAGGUGUUUGGUAACUGUGAAAUUACUUACAUGAUGCGUUGGGGAUUCCAGAGGAUGGAAUAGGUGUGAAAAUCUGCAGUCGGGUCGAACCAGAGAUAGAAUUGCUGCUCCCUGUUGCCCUUUCCUUGGCCAAACACAUUGGUGUGAAGAAUAUAAGGAUCCCCACUAAGGUUUCCCAAGAACUCGAAGUCUAUCUCAUCAUGGGUUGAUCCUUGAGAUGACAACUGCACAAUACAUACACAAUAUUAGUUAUAACUUCCCAUCUAUAGUAUCAAGAAAGAAAAAAAGCUAAAAUAUCGUCCAGCUUACAUAAUAGGCAGUGACGGUGCCAGCAGAAUUUCCAG